CUUUUAGUUGUAGGCGACGGUUCCUCUCCGGAGGAUCAAAAGGGAAUGCGGUGCGGGUGCCUUCGGAAACCCAACUCCGCAGCUGUUCCCGCAACUGUAAGCGGUUCGACUUUCGUCGGAAUGCCACUGGGAAACUCGGUCCUGGGAAGGCGACGGAAGGUAACCCCGCGAGCCAGGAGACCUGCCGUCAUCCGUGGUCACAC
rnacentral:ncRNA from 2 species